rnacentral:rRNA from 1 species
UACAGAGGUCCCAAGCGUUGUUCGGAUUCAUUGGGCGUAAAGGGUGCGUAGGCGGCGCGGUAAGUCGGGUGUGAAAUCUCGGGGCUUAACUCCGAAACUGCAUUCGAUACUGCCGUGCUUGAGGACUGGAGAGGAGACUGGAAUUUACGGUGUAGCGGUGAAAUGCGUAGAUAUCGUAAGGAAGACCAGUGGCGAAGGCGGGUCUCUGGGCCGUAACUGACGCUGAGGAGCGAAAGCAUGGGGAGCGAACAGG